CGCCGCCCCACCUACGUCCAAUGGCGCCCCCACUACGACCUCCUCGACUGGCUCGCCCUCUUCUUCGGCUUCCAGAAGGACAACGUCCGCAACCAGCGCGAGCACCUCGUCCUCCACCUCGCCAACGCCCAGAUGCGCCUCACCCCGCCGCCGGACAACAUCGAUUCCCUCGAUCCCGCCGUCGUCCGCCGCUUCCGCCGCAAGCUCCUCGGUAACUACUCCAGCUGGUGCUCCUACCUCGGGAGGAAGUCCAACAUCUGGAUCUCGGAUCGGAGCCCCGAUUCGCGGCGGGAGCUUCUCUACGUCGGCCUCUACCUCCUCGUCUGGGGCGAGGCGGCCAAUCUUAGGUUUAUGCCUGAGUGUAUCUGUUACAUCUUCCACAAUAUGGCCUCGGAGCUUAACAAGAUCUUAGAGGAUUGCCUCGACGAGAGCACGGGGCAGCCGUAUUCUCCUAAGAUCACGGGGGAGAAUAGUUUCCUAAACGGCGUCGUUAAGCCUAUCUACGACACGAUCAGAGCUGAGAUUAAUGAGAGCAAGAACGGGACGGAGCCGCAUUGUAAGUGGAGGAACUACGAUGAUAUUAAUGAGUACUUCUGGACGGAUAGGUGUUUUAGUAAAUUGAAAUGGCCGAUUGAUUUGGGGAGCAGUUUCUUCAAGAACAGCAGAGGUAGCGGAGUUGGGAAGACAGGUUUUGUGGAGAGGAGGACGUUUUUCUACCUCUACAGGAGCUUUGAUAGGCUUUGGGUGAUGCUUGCUUUGUUUCUUCAAGCUGCUAUUAUAGUUGCUUGGGAGGAGAAGCCGGGUGGAGGGUCGGUGACGAGUCAGCUCUGGAAUGCGUUGAAGUCGACGGAUGUUCAGGUGAGGCUUUUGACUGUGUUCUUGACGUGGAGUGGGAUGAGGUUGUUGCAGGCUGUGUUGGACGCUGGCUCGCAACGGUCUCUUAUUUCUAGAGAGACCAAACGGCUGUUUUUCAGAAUGUUGAUGAAGGUUGUGGCUGCUACGGUUUGGAUAGUAGCGUUUAUUGUUCUCUACACGAACAUCUGGAAGCAGAGGAAGCAAGAUAGGCAGUGGUCCAGAGCCGCGAAUGAUAAGAUCUAUCAGUUCCUUUACGCUGUGGUGGCUUUCUUGGUUCCUGAGAUCCUGGCUUUGGCUCUGUUUAUAGUCCCGUGGAUAAGGAACUUUCUGGAAGAGACGAAUUGGAAGAUAUUCUUUGCUUUGACUUGGUGGUUCCAGGGUAAAAGCUUUGUGGGUCGAGGUUUGAGAGAGGGGUUGGUGGACAACAUCAAGUACUCGACUUUCUGGAUCUUUGUCCUUGCAACGAAGUUCACGUUCAGCUACUUCCUGCAGGUUAAGCCAAUGAUUAAACCCUCGAAGCUGCUAUGGAAUUUGAAGGAGGUGGAUUAUGAGUGGCAUCAGUUCUUUGGCGAGAGCAAUAGGUUUUCUGUCUUGUUAUUGUGGCUGCCAGUGGUGUUGAUAUACCUGAUGGAUAUCCAAAUUUGGUACGCGAUCUAUUCUUCGAUUGUUGGUGCUGUUGUUGGGCUGUUUGAUCAUCUGGGGGAGAUCAGGGACAUGGGACAGCUUAGGCUGAGGUUUCAGUUCUUUGCUAGCGCUAUUCAGUUCAACCUAAUGCCUGAGGAACAACUCCUGAAUGCUAGAGGAUUUGGUAACAAGCUUAAGGACGCCAUUCAUAGGUAAGUCUAUUGAAGCAUGUUACUGAUAUUUCUAUAUAAUUUACUAUAUAGAGUUUGUCUUUAAAGUACAAGCUAUAGUAUUUUAGUUUUGUUAAAGCAGAUUCUCCGCAAUGAACUCGACUUUUUCACAUUGUAAUAACAUUGAGUUUGUGUACUUUAUGCAGAUUGAAGCUGAGGUAUGGAUUGGGGCGGCCGUUUAAGAAACUCGAGUCCAAUCAGGUUGAGGCUAACAAGUUUGCGCUGAUCUGGAAUGAGAUAAUCUUAGCUUUCAGAGAGGAGGAUAUAGUCUCUGAUCGAGAAGUAGAGCUGCUGGAGCUGCCAAAGAAUUCCUGGAAUGUGACAGUUAUCCGCUGGCCGUGUUUCCUGUUGUGCAACGAACUUUUGCUUGCACUGAGCCAGGCGAAAGAGCUGGUUGACGCACCUGAUAAAUGGCUGUGGCACAAGAUAUGCAAGAAUGAGUACAGGCGGUGUGCUGUGGUUGAGGCAUAUGAAAGCAUCAAACAUCUGUUGCUCUCAAUCAUCAAAAUUGACACUGAAGAACAUAAAAUUGUUACAAUUUUCUUUCAGAUGAUUGAGGUGUCUAUUCAGGGUGAGCAGUUCACCAAGACCUUCAAAGUGGACCUUUUGCCAAAGAUUUAUGAGACACUGCAGAAGUUGGUUGGGCUGUUGAAUGAUGAGAAAGUGGAUGUUGGGCGAGUGGUGAAUGGUCUGCAGUCUAUUUAUGAGAUUGCAACACGACAGUUCUUCCUAGAAAAGAAGACGACUGAACAGCUAUCUACUGAGGGGUUAACUCCUCAUGAUCCAGCCUCAAAGUUACUGUUUCAGAAUGCUGUUAGGCUUCCCGAUGCAAGCAAUGAAGACUUCUUCCGGCAGGUUAGGCGGUUACACACAAUUCUCACUUCUAGGGACUCUAUGCACAGCGUCCCUGUGAAUCUAGAGGCGAGACGGCGGAUUGCCUUCUUCAGCAAUUCGCUCUUCAUGAACUUGCCUCAUGCACCUCAGGUGGAGAAAAUGUUGGCGUUCAGUGUUAUGACUCCAUACUACAGCGAGGAAGUUGUAUACAGCAAAGAACAGCUCCGAAAUGAGACUGAGGAUGGGAUUUCAACCUUGUAUUACCUGCAGACGAUUUAUGCCGACGAAUGGAAAAAUUUUAAGGAACGGAUGCGUAGGGAAGGUAUAAAGACAGAUGUUGAGUUGUGGACAACCAAGCUGAGAGAGCUCAGGCUUUGGGCUUCCUACAGAGGUCAGACUUUGGCACGUACAGUUCGAGGAAUGAUGUACUAUUACAGGGCUCUUAAGAUGCUUGCUUUUCUCGACUCUGCGUCUGAAAUGGACAUUCGGGAGGAUGCUCAGGAGCUUGGUUCAAUGAGGAGUUCGCAGGGAAAUCGAUUGGAUGGUGUUGACGAUGUAAAUGACCGAUCUUCUCUAAGCAGAGCAACUAGCUCUGUGAGCAUGCUGUAUAAAGGCCAUGAGCAUGGGACUGCAUUGAUGAAAUUCACAUAUGUCGUGGCGUGCCAAAUCUAUGGGUCUCAAAAAGCGAAGAAAGAGCCUCAGGCAGAGGAAAUUCUGUAUCUUAUGAAGCAAAACGAAGCCCUUCGUAUUGCAUAUGUGGAUGAGGUACAUGCGGGCAGGGGAGAGACUGAGUAUUACUCCGUUCUGGUGAAAUACGAUCACACGUUGGAGAGGGAAGUGGAGAUAUUCCGUGUGAAGCUACCUGGUCCGGUGAAGCUGGGUGAGGGAAAGCCAGAGAACCAGAAUCAUGCAAUGAUCUUUACCCGUGGUGAUGCUGUUCAGACCAUAGAUAUGAACCAGGAUAAUUAUUUUGAGGAGGCUCUCAAGAUGAGAAAUUUGAAUAACAAAGAAUGUAGCCCAAACGGAAACAGAAUAAAUGAAACGCGGUAAAGUGAACAGAUGUCACAUAAUGAUUGGCUGAUUUAAUUGUCCUACGUGGACAGCUUCUCUGAUGCUCAUAUAACCCUUUUAGUAUAGGUUAGAUGAUAUCAUCCUUAGUCAAAAGUCAAAACAUCUCAAAUUAAAUAAGUAUAGAGUUGUGAAUUUUUAAAAAAGUAUAGAGUAUAUAAAAUUAGCAUUUGCGAAUGUUUUUAAAAGUUUGGCGUUUGUAUGGAUCACUGUCAGUGUCAUGAAUCAUUCGGUGACUGCAAAAUUUUAUAUGACAAAAAAAAAAGAGAGUUGAUACUUACCAUUCUCGAUAUUUUGAAAUUUUUUUCGUCGUUAAUACAAACUCAACAUUUUCGAAAUCUUGGAUUAAAAAAAAAAAAUAUGGACAAAACGGUACUUAUUAAUUAAUUAUGUACUAGCGUCUUGACAUUAUUAAUAUAGAUAUAAUUAUAAGAACAAGAAACGUAUAUGCACAAACCCUCAAACCAAAUUUAAAUAGUGUUAAAAAACAAGGGAUGUACUUGUUAUGAAAAAUUAAUAUAUAACCAUUCUUAACAUUUUUACCUAACCCUUAAACUUUAUAAAUAAAAAUACGUAAUAUCCCGAUAGAAAUAUUUUAAAAUUUUGAUUUGAUUAUUUAUGUUAUCAAAGUGCAUUUAUUUUUUUUUGUCACGUAUAUAUUUAAAAUUUCAACAUUAAAAGUGUGUAAGAUGGAGUAGUGAAAAUAUAGACGACUUACCAUAAAAUUAUUUGUGAUAUCAUUUGAAUAAGACUAAAACACGGACAAAAAUAAUAUAGUGAUUGCAUUGUUAUUAAACAAUUAUUUGGAUUUGAAAAGAAAUAACUCAUUGAAUGAAGCCUAUGAGCCGAGUAAACGGACGUGGAUAGCUUAAGCGGUUGGACCGUACAAAAUUUAUGACCAACAAGAAAAUGAAAUUGAUUUUUUUUUUGACGAAAAAAUGAAAUUGAUUUUAGAAAGUAACAAAAUGGUUCCAGAUUUCAAUACUUCAACGUUUUUUUAUGCCGACUUUCUUUUCCUCUUUUACUUACAUGAUAAGGAAACGAGAGAGGUUGAAGAAACAAAGAAACUUCCUAAGCAUUUAGAAAUGUAUCUUCAAAAAAUCUAGUAUUUACCAAGUAAAAUCAUUCAAAAUAAGGAAAAAAAGAAGAAUCUAUUUCCCAAUUUGGUUUUCACCGAAAAAAAAAUUGUCUUAAUAAAAUCUUAAUGCACCAAAUCAUAUAAGAACUUUAUAUGACCAUUGUCAUUAGUUUUUUCUUUAUGGUAAUGGAUCUUCAAAUAAUUUAAAUUAAAUUAAAAAAAAAAAAGAGAAACAAAAACGCGGAAAGGAGAGCCCAAAUCGUCUCCGUCUGUCAUUGUCGCAGUCUCUCACAGCUAAAUAAAAGAGAAAAACAAAUCGCAACGCUUCAAUAUCUCUCUCCCAAUCGUUUGAAUCAGUCUUCCUCAUCACAAUCCCCCAAAGAUCCACCACACAUGCUACUAUGAGCCUCCGCCACCGCACCGUCCCCUCUCAACCCGGACGGCCCCCGGCGGCGGGCGCAAUCGACGACGAGCCCUACAACAUCAUCCCCGUCAACAACCUCCUCGCCGACCACCCCUCCCUCCGCUACCCCGAGGUCCGCGCCGCCGCCGCCGCCCUCAAAACCGGCGGCGACCUCCGCCGCCCCACCUACGUCCAAUGGCGCCCCCACUACGACCUCCUCGACUGGCUCGCCCUCUUCUUCGGCUUCCAGAAGGACAACGUCCGCAACCAGCGCGAGCACCUCGUCCUCCACCUCGCCAACGCCCAGAUGCGCCUCACGCCGCCGCCGGAUAACAUCGAUUCCCUCGAUCCCGCCGUCGUCCGCCGUUUCCGCCGCAAGCUCCUCGGUAACUACUCGAGCUGGUGCUCGUAC
rnacentral:lncRNA from 1 species